CAGUGUAACCCAAGCAAAGUGUGCUUUAGUUUGAUAACCCGAAACUAAGUGAGCUACUCCAAGACAGCCUAUUAAUAGGGCAAACCCGUCUCUGUGGCAAAAGAGUGGGAAGAGCUUUGAGUAGAGGUGACAGACCUACCGAACUUAGUUAUAGCUGGUUGCCUGGAAAUUGGAUAGAAGUUCAGCCUCCCGGAUUCUCCAUUCACUUCAGUUUAACCCCUUCUGAUGCCUUUAAGAAGCCGAGAGAGUUAGUCAAAGGGGGUACAGCCCCUUUGAACCAAGAUACAACUUUUCCAGGAGGGUAAAGAUCAUAAUUACAAAAGGUAAAAUAUUUAGGUGG
rnacentral:rRNA from 1 species